rnacentral:rRNA from 1 species
GAUGAACGCUGGCGGCGUGCCUAAUACAUGCAAGUCGAACGCAUAUACCCUCCGGUUUGCUUUCUGACGAUAGCGACGGACAGGUGCGGACCGGGUGGUAACCCUUCGUAUACCUCCGGGACAACUGCGGGUAACAGUUGCUAAUAGGUGCUAAUAUCGCGUACCACAUUGUGCCGCAGUGAAUAACGGUGAUGCUGGCUUUCGUAGGUGGAUGCUGGCUGGACCCGCGAUGCAUUAGCUAGUUGGUGAGGUAACGGCUCACCAAGGCCACGAUGCGUAGCCGACCUGAGAGGGUGAUCGGCCACACUGGAACUGAGACACGGUCCAGACUCCUACGGGAGGCAGCAGUAGGGAAUCUUCGGCAAUGGGCGAAAGCCUGACGGAGCAACGCCGCGUGAGUGAAGAAGGUUUUCGGAUCGUAAAACUCUGUUGUUAGGGAAGAACAAGGGUGUAAGUAACUGUACACCUCUUGACGGUACCUAACCAGAAAGCCACGGCUAACUACGUG